rnacentral:rRNA from 1 species
GAUGAACGCUGGCGGCGUGCCUAACACAUGCAAGUCGAACGAACAGACGAUGAGCUUGUGCCUUUGACGUUUGCGGCGGGCGGGCGAGUAACGCGUGGAUACCCCACUUAUCUGUCUGGGAUCAUCACGGAACUACGGCUAUUAUACCAGAUAAUAUCUUGCACCGUUGGGUUCAAUGGAGAAUGACGGCUUUGCUGUAUGUUAUAGCUGGUUCCGAGCUGCCUUAGCUGGUUGGUAAGGUCACGGCCUACCAAGGCAACGAUGCGUAGCCGACCUGAGAGGAUGAUCGGCCACACUGGAACUGAGACACGGUCCAGACGCCUAAGGGAGGCAGCAGUAGGGAAUCUUCGGCAAUGGGCGAAAGCCUGACAGAGCAACACCGCGUGAGUGAUGAAGGUCUUCGGGUCGUAAAGCCCUGUUAUUGGGUAAGAACAAAUGUAGAAUAAAACGUGGAGGUUGUGACGGUACCGAAUCAAAAAGCAACGGCUAACUACGUG